UACGAAGGGUGCAAACGUUGCUCGGAAUUAUUGGGCGUAAAGCGCACGUAGGCGGUUCGUCACGUCGGGAGUGAAAACUCGGAGCUCAACUCCGAGCCUGCUUCCGAUACGGGCAGACUAGAGGUAGGCAGGGGAGAGCGGAACUCCUGGUGUAGCGGUGGAAUGCGCAGAUAUCAGGAAGAACACCGGUGGCGAAGGCGGCUCUCUGGGCCUUACCUGACGCUGAGGUGCGAAAGCGUGGGGAGCAAACAGG
rnacentral:rRNA from 1 species